GACACAGGGAGGUAGUGACAAGAAAUAACAAUACGGGGCUUAAUGUCUUGUAAUUGGAAUGAUGGGAAUUUAAACCUCUUCCAGAGUAUCAAUUGGAGGGCAAGUCUGGUGCCAGCAGCCGCGGUAAUUCCAGCUCCAAUAGCGUAUAUUAAAAUUGUUGCAGUUAAAAAGCUCGUAGUUGAAUUUCUGCUGCAUUUCAUUUCUCUUUCUGAGUUUGUUUUUGCGGCUUAUUUCGGUUUGAUUUUUUCUUUCCGGAUGAUUACUUUGAGAAAAUUAGAGUGCUCAAAGCAGGCUUUUGCCUUGAAUAGUUUAGCAUGGAAUAAUAAAGUAGGACUUUGGUUCUAUUUUGUUGGUUUUAGGUACCAAAGUAAUGGUUAAUAGGAACAGUUGGGGGCAUUCGUAUUUAACUGUCAGAGGUGAAAUUCUUAG
rnacentral:rRNA from 1 species